rnacentral:rRNA from 1 species
UACGUAGGCAGCGAGCGUUGUUCGGAAUUACUGGGCGUAAAGAGCUCGUAGGCGGCUUGUCACGUCGGGUGUGAAAGCCCGGGGCUUAACCCCGGGUCUGCAUUCGAUACGGGCUAGCUAGAGUGUGGUAGGGGAGAUCGGAAUUCCUGGUGUAGCGGUGAAAUGCGCAGAUAUCAGGAGGAACACCGGUGGCGAAGGCGGAUCUCUGGGCCAUUACUGACGCUGAGGAGCGAAAGCGUGGGGAGCGAACAGG